UUAGCAUAAUGGCGAUUUCUUUUUGACAAUUGGCCCCUACUGUUGGUGCACGUGUUUUUCUUGCGGACUGUUCAUAAAAAUCCAUUAAAAAAGAGAUGAAUCCGGAGAAAUUAAAGAAGUUGCAGGCGCAUGUUCGUAUCGGUGGAAAGGGCACUCCACGUCGUAAGAAGAAGAUUGUACAUUCUACUCCUGCUACCGAUGAUAAAAAAUUACAAUCGUCUCUAAAGAAAUUGUCUGUUAACACGAUUCCUGGGAUUGAAGAAGUUAAUAUAAUCAAAAAUGAUGGUACCGUCAUACACUUCAAUAAUCCUAAAGCACAGGCAUCACUUCCAACAAACACGUUCGCUAUUACGGGGCAUGGGGAGAACAAGUCUAUUUCAGAAAUGUUGCCGGGAAUUUUAACACAGCUGGGACCGCAGGACAUCACGCAAUUGAAAAAAAUCGCUACAGAGUUUGCUAACAAAGGGGCUGCUGCAUCAGGUGCCGCAGCUGGUGGUUUAGCGAGUGCAUCUUCAUCUGCAGUUGACGAUGAUGUUCCAGAUUUAGUUCAGAACUUUGAGGAGGUGGCUAUUGGAGGUGCAUCAGCUAGUGCUAAAGGGGUAGAUAUUACUAGCACAGUUGAGUCUACACCGAAAACUGAGGAGGUUCCUGUGGCCUAAAACGGAUUCUCACGAUGGAAACUUAGAUUUAGUGGUGCCGACAUACGCAAGCAACAUCUACAAAUAUACAAAGCGUGGGAUAUAAGUAAGGGAAGACGACGAAUAGAUUAAAUAUUCGUCAACUAUAUUGAUUAGACGUGCGUCUCAAUUUGGAGCUGAGUUAUGAAAAGGGUUGCACUCGGUAUAAAUAUAGUACACACAACAUAACCAGAGAAAAACUACAUAUAAUGCAAUAAUACAUAACCGCAGAUGGCGAAAGUAGAAUAAAUGAAUUUAUCGAAAAUAGGAACAGAAUAAUUCCACAAAAGAGUCACUUAAACACUCCAAUCGAAGCAUUACCAGUACAAGUAGGCGUCGAAGGCAUGGAUAGAUAUGCAAAAGCAUAAUAUGCAUAAAAUAUAUUAUUUUUAUAUUGAAUACCCUUGGCAUAUUGAAUGGUUACUAGAUUGGGCAACGCAUAUUUGGACUGACCUCUUGGUUUUCUCGCUUAAUAUAUUAUUUCCUUUCCCCAAUAUAUGCCUAGGUUUGAAUCGAUUUUAUUUCGUCGGAGGCAACUUAAAUCUGAAAAAGCAAAUACCGUGUAAAAUAUUAACUUAUUUUUACGCAUAAAAUGGCAUGGAACGAAUUCAAAUUUUUUAUCAAUCUCAUACCAAAACUACUGUUGAUAAUAUUUAAUUUUUAGAAACCCACUAAAGGAAAAUGAAUAAACAAUACGAAACAUGAGUUAAAAA